UGAGCCUGGAAUCUUCCUCCGUCCCGAGGAGCAAACCCCGGGCUCCCCCGCCCCGGACUCCUGGCCCCCGCCACGCUCAAGGCAGCCUCUGGGGCCUCGGCUGUGUGGGAAGCCACCCCCAAAGGCGACCUGCGGCCUGAUGCCACUCACAGAGCACAGCGGAAAUGACAGAAUCUCAGACGUGGAGGGCGGCGCCGCCGGCAGGACACCAACCCUGCUUCCUAAAACGCAGAGGCACUGGGCCUUCGGCGCAUCUUUUGGGGGACAAUUUAACGCACAACAACCCAUGUGAAGCUCAUCUGCACCCACAGGGUGGCCCACGGCCCUUCAAGGCUGUCUGAACGCAUCCCCACCCUGGCACCUGCAGCUGAGGGGCUCCUCACAGCGGACCUCAGCCCCUGGACGUGGCUGCCUCACUCUAAGAUUUGGAAGUUCCUGAACACAGCAAGCCUUGUGGGUGAACAACAGGAGUCCUCCAAGGCAGUGACCUCGGACCGACGGUACCUCUUCAGCCUGAGCAUCUGGACAAGAAACCCUGAUGGAUCAGAUGACACAGAUCUUACAUAACACAGGGAGUUUCUUCCUUAAUCAAAUACCCCGCCAGGAAGAGGUGCGUGUGUCCAAAUCACCGGGGAUAUUCUCGCCCGUCAGAGCCACAGGAGGCUUUCCGCUGGAUUAUGUGUCUUUGUUUUUGGCUUAUCAGAAACUUCCUCUGAAAUCACUGGGGAAUUCAGAGCCUAGGAUGGGAGACGGAGAAACAGUGUUCCCCUAGGGGAAUUCCCUGAGAUUGGGUUAUCCCCUCCUGAGAGCAGCAUGGCAAUCGAUAACCUGAAUUAGUGAAAGAAAUGAACGGAAAAUAAAGAUCUGCUGUUCAGGCGGGGCGCAGUGGCUCACGCCUGUAAUCCCAGCACUUUGGGAGGCCGAGGCGGGUGGAUCACUUGAGGUCAGGAGUUCGAGACCAGCCUGGCCAAAAAGGUGAAACCUCCACUAAAAAUACAAAAACUUAGCCAGACAUAGUGGCAGGCGCCUGUAGUCCCAGCUACUCAGGAGGCUGAGGCAGGAGGAUCACUUAAGCCCGGGAGGCGGAGGUUGCAGUGAGCUGAGAUUACACCACUGCACUCCAGCCUGGGUGACAAAAAAUAAAAUAAAAUAAAAUAAAAUAAAAUCCGCUGUUCUCCCAAGGAGGGAAACACAAGGUGAAAGUGGUUGGGGGAGGCCAGGCGUGGUGGUUCACGCCUGUGAUCCCAGCACUGUGGGAAGCUGAAGUGGGCGGAUCACCUGAGGUUGGGAGUUCGAGAUCACCCUGACUAACAUGGAGAAACCCCCGUCUCUACUAAAAGUACAAAAUUAGUCAGGCAUGGUGGCGCAUGCCUGUCAUCCCAGCUACUUGGGAGGCUGAGGCAGGAGAAUCGCUUGAAUCCAAGAGGCAGAGGUUGCAGUGAGCUGAGAUCGCGCCACUGCACUCCAGCCUGGGCAACAAGAGUGAAACUCCGUUUCCAAAAAAAAAAAAAAAGAAAGAAAGAAAGAAAAAGGCCAGGCGUGGUGGCUCAGGUCUGCAAUCCCAGCACUUUGGGAAGCUGAGGCAAGUCGAUCACAUAAGGAGUUCAAGACCAGCCUGGCCAAGAUGGUGAAACCCCGUCUGUACUAAAAAUACAAAAAUUAGCCGGGUGUGGUGGCGCAUGUCUGUAAUCCCAGCUACUCUGGAGGCUGAGGCAGGAGAAUCACUUGAACCUGGGAGGUGGAGGUUGCAGUGAGCCAAGACCGUGCCACUGCCCUCCAGCCUGGGCAACAGAGUGAGACUCCAUCUCAAAAAAAAAAAAAAAAAAAAAAAAGGCAGGGGGUUGGAAGAAGACAGCGUGGGGUAGGGAGGACGGUGGAGUCCAGGACCCCGUUCCAGCCCCAGCUGCAGGGAGGACGGUGGAGUCCAGGACCCCGUUCCAGCCCCAGCUGCAGGGAGGACGGUGGAGUCCAGGACCCCGUUCCAGCUCUGGCCGCAAUCCUCGAGGCUGGGUGAUAUUCACAUCCUUCACUCUCUCUUCACCUCAAGUCUUUGUUGUAAACUGAGAAUAACCCUUUACUCAUUUCACAGAUAUUUUUCUUGGGACUUUCACUGUGCAGGGCUUCCAUAGGGAUGUUGGGGUUCAAUGGUUCACCAGGUGCCCACCACGGUCUCGCAGGCUGGAGGGACUCUUGAAGACUGAGUUAAGGGAAGUGGGAGUCCUGCACCCGCCCCAGAACUGGAAGGGUUCCCACUGGCUCUGGUUAUGUUGUCUUAAAGCAAUGGUGGCAGAGCUCUCUGAGGGCUCCGGGAGACGGGGCUCUGUUGGGAGGCUCUCCUCUCCUGAAGUGAAGGCAGAUGCUGGCCGGGGCUCCCCCAGGAUACCCGCUCGCAGGCCUGGCACUGGCUGCUGGGGGCCGGGCUGGCAUCACAUGCCUCCCCGGAUGACUGGGGCUUCUCCCACCAUAAGGGCUGGGCUCUAGGGGAGGGUCACCGCUGUUCAGAAUCUGGUCCUCAGCUUAAAAUACCCUCAGACUCCACUGUGUGGGGCAGGGCUCCCAGAAGAAAGCAGGCGUCCCCGCUUCCCUAGCCAGGGAGUCUGAGCCACUCUCGGCCACCACAGUCCAAGAAUCACGGUGUCCUUGCUCUUCCUCACAGGCUGCUCCCUCUGCCUGGGGUCCCCUCCCUCCCUUCCCACCACGGCCUGUCUGUCCCCCCAUUACCACUCCCUGGCUAAACCCCUCUACUUUUUCAGAGUUCAGUCUAAAUAAUGAUCAUUUCUGUAGGUUGGGUUCAUCCUCAUGGCACGCUGAAACCCAUGCAUCUCCUGCGUGGCAUUCCCACGAUGGCGACUGAACCCUGCUUGUGGCACUCCAGGCUCAGUGGCUGGCAGCCGUGCAGGUCCAAGCCUGGGUCCCGUAUCAGCUGUGCAACUCAGACAGUCGCUGGCACACAGCAGGUGCUCAGCACAGGCUUGUCUGCUGGAAAAGAAUGAAGGUACAACCACACAAGUGAGUAGGGGCUAAUCGAGUCACCCUGGAGGCUCCUCUACAAGCCAGAGACCAUCGCUAAGCUUACAACUGGCAAGAGAAAUUGCAGCCAAGGCCAGGUGAGGUGGCUCAUGCCUGUAAUCCCAGCCCUUCGGGAGGCCAAAGCGGGAGGAUAACCUGAGGUCCGGAGUUCAAGACCAGCCUGGCCAACGUGGUGAGACCCCCGUCUCUACUAAAAAUACAAAAAAAAAUUAGCCUGGCAUGGUGGCAGGCGCCUAUAGUCCCAGCUACUCAGGAGGCUGAGGCAGGACAAUCACUUGAACCUGGGAGGCGGAAGUUGCAGUGAGCUGAGAUCAUACCACUGCACUCUAGCCUGGGCAACAGGGUGAGACUCUGGCAAAAAAAAAAAAAAAAAAAAAAAGGCAGCCAAAUGAAAGAUUUUUUUUUUUUUUUAAUUUUGAGAUGGAAUCUCACCCUGUCACCCAGGCGGGAGUGCAGUGGCACAAUCUCAGCUCACUGCAACCUCCGCCUCCUGGGUUCAAGUGAUUCUCCUGCCUUAGCCUCCUGAGUAGCUGGGAUUACAGGCGUGCUCCACUGCAUCUGGCUAAUUUCUGCAUUUUUAGUAGAGAUGGGGUCUCACCACAUUGGCUAGGCUGUUCUCGAACUCCUGGCCUCAGGUGAUCUGCCCGCCUCGGUCUCCCAAAGUGCUGGGAUUACAGGCGUGAGCCACUGUGCCCAGCCACAAUUGAAAGUUUUUGUUUUUGUUUUUGUUUUUUUGAGAUGGAGUUUCACUCUCGUCACCCAGGCUGGAGUGCAAUGGCGCGAUCUUGGCUCACCACAAUCUCUGCCUCCCUGGUUCAAGCGAUUCUCCUUCCUCAGCCUCCCAAGUAGCUGGGAUUACAGGCAUGCACCACCACGCCGGGCUAAUUUUGUAUUUUUAGUAGAGAUGGUGUUUCACCACGUUGGUCAAGCUGGUCUUGAACUCCUGACCUCAGGUGAUCCGCCUGCCUCGGCCUCCCGAAGUGCUGGGACUACAGGCGUGAGCCACCGCGCCCGGCCCCAGUUGAAUGGUCUUAAUGGCUCUUUUUGCAAUUCUAGAACCAGGCACAGAUCAUUCUAUAAAACAGAACGAGGGCUCUGGCGUGCUGGGUAGAGGAGGUUGGUUUUGUAGACAGAAAGGGGCUGAGGAAGCAGACACAGAACAAAAAGCAGAUCGGUCAUUUCCAAGAGGUUUUCCUUGGAAGGUUCCAGCAGAGGGGACUUCCUCAUCAUGCCGGCAAGACCUGGCUUGUUUGGGGCUAUUCUCUGUCUCCUGGUUUCCUGGAAGGUGAGAUGAACAAGUUAGUUUUGGCUUGAUGACGUGGAGCUCUAGCACGAGUGGCUGCGUUUUGGUCUGUUCUGCCAGGCCUCCUGCAGGAGCUCAGGCCAGACCAGUGGCCUCCUACGAAUUUUAUCAAACGCGACUCAGACGAUGCCGUUCAGGCAAGGUUGAGAACCAAGCCCAGCACUGCCUGGUCCAGCCCCUGGGAAGGAAGGCAGGGCCGGGAGCCCCUCCUGCCGCCAGCAGCGACCCUGUCUCGGAAGGUUGUCUUUUCAGGGACGCUUGUACAGCAGACAGCCUUGGAAGAAAGAGAGAGAGUCUCACUCAGGAGCUCAGGACAGGAGUCUCGUGUCCUCUGCCUGCAUUCAUGAAACUGUGGGUGGCUACCUCGUUCAUUCGCAAGGACCUGUGAAAGGAAAAUAAAUCUUGGGACCGCAAAGUCACUAAGCCAAAGGGAAAAGUCACACUGGGAACUGUCAGGCGAGCCUGCUCCCAUUUUAUUCCCAAAUAAGACAGAUACAGAGAUUAAAAAAACAAAAAAGCCACACACCUCCCUCACAAUUUGUGCACAAGGAAAUUCCCCGUGGGGCUCAAGAUCUUUACCCUAGAGCAGUUGUGUGGGAUUUCACCCUGGCAAUGUCAGUGGACAGCUUACCUUCACAGGUGCAGAUGAAGGACAGAACUCAAAGCCAUCCCUCUGCUCCCCUGAGACAAACGCAUAUCUGACUGCUUCCUCGGCCCUGUUGUCUCACUGAGCCAGACUAAGGCACACGUGGCCCUUCCCCUACCCCCUCUCACAUGUGGAUUGUGUAUUCAGUGAAAGGCUGAUCAGAGACUCAUAGAAUGCAACCAUCUAUUGCUUAUCAACAUUAACUGGAAGCCGCUGCUUCGAGUUGUCUCAAGUUGUCCUGCCUUUCUAGACCAAACCAAUGUACAUCUUACAUAUGUAUAUAUUUUAAUAUUUAUUUAUUUAUUUUGAGUUGGAGUCUUGCUCUGUUGCCCAGGCUGGAGUGCAAUGGUGUGAUCUUGGCUCACUACAACCUCCAUCUCCCAGGUUCAAGCGAUUCUCC
rnacentral:lncRNA from 10 species